rnacentral:rRNA from 1 species
UACGGAGGGUGCAAGCGUUAAUCGGAAUUACUGGGCGUAAAGCGCACGCAGGUGGCUGAGUCAGUCGAUUGUGAAAGCCCUGGGCUUAACCUGGGAAUUGCAGUCGAUACUACUCAGCUAGAGUAUGGGAGAGGGCAGUGGAAUCCCCGGUGUAGUGGUGAAAUGCGUAGAGAUCGGGGGGGAACACCCGUGGCGAAGGCGGCCAGCUGGGCCGUCCCUGACACUGAGGCGCGAAGGCGUGGGGAGCGAACGGG